GUGCAGCAGUCGCGAAAACUCUGCAAUACGCGAAAGCGUGACAGGGCUACCCCGAGUGUCGUCCGCUGAGGACGACUUUUCCACGCUGUAAGGAGGCGUGGGAAUAAGGAGAGGGCAAGUCUGGUGUCAGCCGCCGCGGUAAUACCAGCUCUCCGAGUGGUAGGGACGUUUAUUGGGCUUAAAGCGUCCGUAGCCGGCUCAACAAGUCUCCCGUUAAAUCCAACGAUUCAAUCGUUGGACUGCGGGAGAUACUGCAGAGCUUGGAGGCGGGAGAGGUCGCCGGUAUUUCCGGGGUAGGGGUAAAAUCCUAUAAUCCCGGGAAGACCACCAGUGGCGUAGGCGGUCGGCUAGCACACGCUCGACAGUGAGGGACGAAAGCUGGGGUAGCGAACCGGAUUAGAUACCCCGGUAGUCC
rnacentral:rRNA from 1 species